rnacentral:hammerhead_ribozyme from 1 species
AUCCGGUUAAUGAGUCCGCAAUAGGACGAAACGCGCGUCCAACUGGAU